rnacentral:tRNA from 1 species
GCCCCGAUGGUGAAAUUGGUAGACACAAGGGACUUAAAAUCCCUCGGCUGAAAGGCUGUACCGGUUCGAGUCCGGUUCGGGGCACCA